AUUACUGUGAUUUUAACAGAUCUUUGUGCUACUAACAUUUUCUUUGGGUGCUAUUACUCAUUAUAAAAAUGUUGCAGACGGGCACAAGUAACUAUUUGACCAGGUGAGGCAAGUGGAGGUAGAAUGUUUUGUAUGUUCAAGUUUAAAUUUAUUGUUUUCACAGGCAUAAAUGCAUAGGAUAUAAAUAACAUGAAAACUAGCUUUUGCGGCAGCAACAUUAUUACAAGGACAAACACAAGUUAACAUAAACUUAACUGAACAUGAAUUAUACAUAAAUUACACAUGUAAGUCCAACUACUAUUGACAUGACAAAUAGAUCCUGUAUCCAAAUCCACAUUCUAAUGAAGAGUUUUUGAACUGAAAUGUUAACUGUUUCGCAUGUGUAGCUGCUAACCAACUUUCUAGAUAUUUCCAUCUGGAUAUUAUGUUUAUUCUGCCUUUUAAUGGUCAAAUCCAAUGCACAAGAAUAUCCAUAACUUGUUUCUGUCUGUUUAACAACAAAGCUACAGGAAGAGCAGGAAUGGAAAUAACAAGUAAUCGUGUACAGGGCACUGAUCAGUUCUGAAGAUGAGGGAAGAUUAAUAUUCUACAUUUAAUCCUGUCUGAACCCUGGCUAAAUCAUUGUGACCACAUACGGAAUUAAAAAUUUACUUGUGAUUGGAAUGUACGUAUAUUUAUUUGGUUAAUUCACAGGUUGCAUCUGUGGUAAAGAAGGCAAAUGCAAUGUUGACAUUUAUGUCAAGGGGAAUAGAAUAUAAAAACAAGGAUAUAAUGCUGAAGCUUUAGAAGACACUAGUCAGGCUGCACUUGGAGUACCAUCAACAGUUUUGGGCCCCUUAUCUCAGAAAUGAUGUAUUGUCAUUGGAGAGAGUCUAAGAUGACUCCAGGAAUGAUGGGGUUAACAUAUGAGGAGCAUCUGGCAACUUUGGGCCUGUACUCAUUGGAAUUUAGAAGAAUGCGUGGGGAUCUCAUUGAAACCUACCAAAUGUUGAAAGGACUAGAUAAGGUGGAUGUGGAGAGGAUGUUGCCUCUGGUGAGGAUAUCCAGAACUAGAGGGCACAGCCUCAGGGGCAACCUUUUAGAAUAGAAGGAGGGAGGAAUCUUUUUAGACCAAGAGCGGUGAAUCUGUGAAAUGCUCUGCCACAAACUGCGGUGGAGGCCAACUCUGUGGGUAUAUUUAAGCGGAGAUUCCUGGUUGGUUGGGGCAUCAAGGGAUAUGGUGAGAGGGCAGGCGUAUGGGGUUGAGUGGGAUCUGGCAUCAGCCAUGAUGAAAUGGUGGAGCAGACUGAAUGGGCUGAAUGACCUGAUUCUGCUCCUAUGUCUUAUGGUCUUAUGACCUCUGUCAUAGGCUGGAUCAAAGUUAGUGAUAAAUCAGCAUAUAAGAGGGAAAUCGAAAAUCCGGCUGAGUGGUGCCACAACAAAAACCUCUUGUUCAAUGUCAGCAAGACCACGGAGCUGAUUAUUGACUUAAGGAGGUGGAAACCAGAGGUCCAUGAGCCAGUCCUUAUGGGAGGAUCAAAGGUGGAGAGGAUCAGCAACCUUAAAUUCCUCAGUGUCAUCAUAUUAGAGGAACACUCCUGGGAUCAGCACAUGAGUACAAUGACAAGGAAAGCACAGCAGUGCCUCUACUUCCUCAGGAGUUUGCAAAGAUUUGGUACACCUAAAACUUUGACAAACUUCUAUAGGUGUGUAGUAGAGAGUAUAUUGACUGGCUGCAUCACAGCCUGGUAUGGAAACACCCAAUGCCCCGAAUGGAAAAUCCCACAAAAAGUAGUGAAUUUGGCCCAGUCCAUCACGGGUAAACCCCUCCCCAUAAUUGAGUGCAUCUACACAAAAUGUUGUCACAGGAAAGCAGCACCCAUCUUCAGGGCCCCCCACCACCCAGGACAUGUUCUCUUCUCGCUGCAGCCCGGAGCCUCAGGACUCAGACCACAAGGUUCAGGAACAGUUAUUAUUCCUCAACCAUCAGGCUCUUGAACCAAAGGGGAUAACUUCACUUGCCACAUUAUUUUUCAUGUUCCCACAACCUAUGGACUCACUUUCAAGGUCUUGUCAUCUCAUGUUCUAGAUAUGAAUUAUUUAUUAUUAUUCUUUCUUUCUUUUUUUAUUUGUACAGUUUGUUGUCCUUUACACAGUGGUUGAACUCCCAGUUGGUGUGGUCUUUCACUGAUUCUAUUAUUGUUAUUAUUCUGUUAUGGAUUUUUAAAUAUGCCCACAAGAAAAUUAAUCUCUGGGUUGUAUAUGGUGAGAUAUAUACACACACUUUAACAAAAAAUAUACAUUCAACUUUGCCUGAAUCCAAGAGGAAAGGAAGAAUAAAAUGAUUAAGCAGCUCUGCUGCCACCAAGUGGAUGAUAAAAUAUAAAUUCACACGUUUUGUUUUCCAGAAUUUAAACUUCAACAAAACAUAAUUGUUUUGUGCUAUUCAUUACUUUGCUGAUUACUUUUAGAAAAUGGAAGCAAGAGCAUCAGACAUUGGAAUAGAAUUAGGCCAUUCAGCCCAUUGAGUCUGCUCCCCCAUUCCAUCAUGGCUGAUUUAUUACCCCUCUCAACCCCAUUCUCCUGCCCUCUCCCCAUAACCUUUGACACCCUGACUAAUCAAGAACCUAUCAACCUUCGUUUAAAAUACACUUAGUGAAUUGGCCCCCCACAGCAAUUAAUUCCACAGAAUCACCACCCUCUGGCUAAAGAAAUUCCUCCUCAUCUCUGUUCUAACUGGACAUCCCUGAGGCUGUGCUCUCUAGUCCUAGACUCCACCACGAUAGGAAGUAUCCUCUCAACAUCCACUCUAUCUAGGCCUUUCAAUGAGAUCCCCCCCCCCUUAUUCUUCUGAACUCCAGUGAGUACAGACCUCGAGCAAACCAUCAAAUGAUCCUGUUAACCCUUUCAUCCCCGGAACCAUUCUCGUGAACAUCCUCCGGACAUGACCGUGUACGUUUCCUCCCACAGUCUAAAGACGUACCGGUUAGUAGGUUAAUUGGUCAUUGUAAAUUGUCCUAUGAUUAGGCUUGGAUCGAAUCGGAGUUCACUCGGGUGGCGCAGUUUAAAGGCCAGCUCUGCACUGUAUUUCUAAAUAAAUAAAUUAUGAAGGAUCCUAUCCACACUGCUCAUGGACUGUUUGUCCCACUCUCAUCAGGAUGGAGGCUACGUAGCUAUCUUAUGUAUUUAGAUUUAUUGUGUGUUUAAAUCACUGUGUUCUUAGUGUACUUUUUAUAUGCUGCACCAGAUCCGAAGUAACAAUGACUUGGUCCUCCUUUACACUUGUGCACCGGAAAUGACAUUAAACAAUCUUGAAUCCACUGACUUUGAGAGAAGUUCAAGCACAAACUAGCGGGACGCUAACUGGAUCUCAGCAAGUGCUCACUUGGAACCCAAGCAGAGGUGGAGGUGGGGGUGCGGCACGAAUGGUUGCACCGCCACCUGGGAAUUGGAGUUUAUUGAUCUCGGCCAGAACCUGCCAGCUGUAAACUACACUUCCCAGAAGGAACCGCAGUCCAUCGGUGCAUGCUCGAUGUUCCGUUUCUCUCGGCUACGGAGCGGAAGUAGUAAAUGAUCAGCAAGUGAACCCGAGUGGGAUUCAUGAACAGUCCACCCUCUCCGCACCGCUCACGGCUCCGUUAUAUUUAAAUCUGCAUCCUCCGUUCACCGCCCGACUGCAAUGGCCAAGAACCUGCCGCCUGAAGAUCCGAACUUGAUAGCCAAGAUCGUGGAUCACCUGAAGAACCGCGGCCUGUUUGACGAGUUCCGCAGAGACUGCCUGGCUGAUGUCGACACCAAGCCAGCAUAUCAGAAUCUCAGACAGCGAGUUGAUAAUUUUGUCUCCAAUCAUUUGGCUAAUCAUGAGUGGAAUCCAAGCCUUAACAAAAAUCAGCUGCGUAAUGAGCUUCGACAAAGGGUCUGUAAAUCAGGAAUGUUGGAAUCUGGCGUGGACAGAAUUAUUUCUCAGGUCGUAGAUCCGAAGCUGUAUCACAUAUUCAAACCUCAGAUAGAGAAGGCAGUUCAUGAAUUCAUGGCGACAGAAAUGAAUGAAGAAAUUGUGCCAAAUCCUCCACAGGAGCCUGAAAAACAGGAGCUCUCUGCUCCAGCUUCAGGUAACUCUUCAAAGGCCCUAGCACCAGCAUAAAAAUGGCUCUUUUCUACCUUCAACUGUAGUUGCACAAUCAGUUAAGAAUAAAUUUGACUAUGGGACAAAGAUGCUUAUCUAGGAUUAACCAAGAUAAAUGUUGUUUAUAGUUUACACUAGCAUUGCUACGUCAUUAUAUGGAAUAGGAAAAGUGAUGAGAACUAAACAAUGAAGAAAAAGUAUUAUUUGAUGGAUCUUAAUUACUGUCACAGAGAUUCAGUAAGAACAGAUGCUCAGAUGCUUUUGGCAAUGCUUGAAAUUUUGAAGAGAAACUAGAGUGAAUGAAGAAAUAGCUAUAGUAUAACUGGACUUUCAUUGAAGGAGGACAUGUACUGAAGAGAUUUUUUUAAAAUGAGAAAUAGGCAACCUUCCCAAAAAGGUAGUUCACUUUUCUCAGAGCAUAUUGCGCAUUUAACCCUUUGAGGAUGGCAACAAAUUUUUAUGGGUUCAGAGAAUGCUGAAAAUAUCUAUUCUGUGGCUUUGUUGUCAUCCCUGAAAUGCUUCUGCACUGGAGUUUCUAUCUCCAAAGGAUUGAUGCAGUUGUUAUAAUUUAUUUCCUGUAUUUCAAUUAGAUCAUUAAACAUUGAAAAGUAGUUAAUUACUCAGCUGCUUAACCUGUCCAGCACUGUAUUUGGAUACUUUUUUUCCUGUGUUACACAUUUUUGUAAAAACCUUGAGGAUAGAUCGGGUGAUGUUUAAUUAUUACAGGUGACAUACUUUUUCCCCCUUUGGUUCUGUUCAAAACAAGCACAUAAUGUCAUAACAUCUUGAAGAUUAUAAGAACAAUAAUUAUUGUGAGACAAUUAUUCUCAAAUAUUUUGAGAGAAAUACAUCACUAUAUACUAGUUUCUGGUAGCAAAGAAACAAAGCUACAGCUUUCUCCAUCCUUCCUUCUAUACCAUAGCAAAAAGGUAUAACCUCCCAGUUACCAGUGAGUUUAUGGAAGUACACACUUGCCGUGCCUGGAAAUUUAUUUUCUUCAUAAAUUUUUAAAUUUACUCUUUCCUUUGUAAUACGUGACAGUUUAGAUUUUAUGCAACUAUUUCUGCCUGUUUUUCACUGAAGUGCAUAAUAUUCCACAAUCUAAAUACAACAGCACUUUAGGCAUGAAAAUGAACCUGGUGGUUCAUAUUCAUGAAGUAGUCUUGCAGCAUCUGGGCAUACCAUCAUGUUGUGUAACUAUAAUUUAAAAACUUGGCACAAGGAUGAGACAAUUAGAAAAUUUCAAAUUUGAUUUCUGGUCUAUGGUAACUUGAAUCUUUAUCAGGAUGGGCCAUGCUAAUUGUUUCCAAGAUAAAUAUUAGUAUGAUUUCUGCUCCUGGCAUUCUCAAGUUUACAGUGAAAUCAAAUGAGAAUGAGUUACGCUGCUACAUUGUCCAGACAAAUUGCAACUGUUUGGUUUCAUAGUUGCUAAUUUUCCAUAUGCCAGUGAAUAGUCUAAUGUGAUUGGGGGGGGGGGGGGCGGAGGCAAAGUUAUAAACCCCUAAGUUGUAUGCAUCUUUUAACUUAAUAUUUUAUUUUGGUUUGUUUUUCAGGAUAGUUUGAAGACUAAUCUUGAAAACCUCCCUAGACAUAACAGUUUUCCCCCACCCCCUCCCCACACCCCUUCCACAGAGGACAUGCACUGGACCCAGCACAUAAGUGCAAUUAUGAAGAAAGCAUGGCAGUGCCUCUACUUCCUUAGAAGUUUGCGAAGAUUCAGCAUGACAUCCAAUAUUUCGACAAACUUCUAUCGAUAUGUGGUGGUGAGUAUAUUGAUGGGUUACAUCACAGCCUAGAAUGGAAACACCAAUGCCCUUGAAUGGAAAAUCCAACAAAAUGUAGUUAAUAUGUCCCAAUCCAUCAGGGGAAAAGCCCUCCCAUGCAUUGAGCAUAUCUACACAGAGCACUGACUCAGGAAAACAGAAUUCAUCAUCAGGGACCCCCAUCAGCCAGGUCAUGCUCUCUUCUUGCUGCUGCCAUCAGGAGGAAGGUACAGGAGCCUCAGGACUCUCACCACCAGGUUUGGGAACAGAUAUUACCCCUCAACCAUCAGGCUCUUGAACCAGUGGGGGUAAUUCAUUCAACUUCACUUGCUCCAUCACUGAAUGAUUCCCAUAGCCUAUGGGCUCACUUUCAAGGACUUCAUUUCAUGUUUCCAAUAUUUAUUGCUUAUUUUAUUAUUAUUAUUAUUAUUUUCUCUUUUAUAUUUGCACAGUUUGUUGUCUUUUGAACAUUGGUUAUCUGUCCACCCUGUUGGGUGCUGUCUUUCAUUGAUUCUAUUAUGGUUCCUGGAUUUACUGAGUAUGCCCACAAGAAAAAAAAUGUCAGGGUUGUAUAUGGUGACAUAUAUAUACUUUGAUAAUAAACUAACUUUGAACUUUUGAACUUUCAACCAUUCUUUAUCCUCACAAGACCCUUAGUUUCCCUUUACUUUCACAAUUAUCUUUUUGUCUUCCAUGGUAAAAACAAGUAGAAAAUACUUAUCUAAUGUCACUAUAAUUUUAUUAUUUAUUAUUAGAUAAUUGUUGAACUCUUUACAGACUGUUUUAGGUCUCUUGCAAUUUGAAUCCCAUAUUCUAUUUCCUCCCAUCAAUUUAUUGGUCUAAAAUCCUACCAAAUAUUGUGAAUUUAAAAAUCUUACAUAGCCUUGUUAUACUGUUCAUUAAAUGUGUAGUUCUCCCUGUUGAAGUUGACAUAACUAAAUUCUUCUGGGGAGUAAAUGAUUGCAAGUUCUUCACUGUGGGACUGUCGUGGCUAAACUGUUAUGAUUAAAUAAUAAUAUGUGCUUGGUCUGAUGUUUAUUUUCAUGUUCGACCAUACUAAGAUAUAACUCAGUCAUCGUACUUUUGCCAGUUACCAGUAUUUGUCAAGUGCUACUUCAGAUGAUCGUUAAGAAUGCUCACACCAAUGCAUAAAACAACUACCAGCUGGAAAAUUACAGUAAUUCCAUUUUAGGUCUGCAUUAUCUGAUUUCUCCUUUUCUGUCAAGAAAGACAAAUCAUUAUUGUCUUCAAAAAUGCUUACCUUCUUCAGACCAAAUAGGAAUAUUGCAUCAUAAUUGUGGGUGGCUCGACAGCAUAGUGGUUAUCACAAGUGCCUUACAGUGCAGGUGACCUGGGUUCAAAUCCCACUGCUGUCUAUAAGGAGAGUGUAUGUUCUCCCCGUGACCACGUGGAUUUCCUCCAGGUGUUCCGAUUUCCUCCCACGGUCCAAAGUCAUACCGGUUGGUACAUUUGUAGAUUAAUUAGUCAUUGUGAAUUGGUCCCACACAGGAGAUUAGUGUGCAAACUUAAAGCACACGGUAUUGGGGGUAAGGUAUUGGUGUGGGUGGAGAAUUGGUUAGCAGACAGGAAGCAAAGAGUGGGAAUAAACGGGACCUUUUCAGAAUGGCAGGCGGUGACUAGUGGGGUACCGCAAGGCUCAGUGCUGGGACCCUAGUUGUUUACAAUAUAUAUUAAUGACUUGGAUGAGGGAAUUAAAUGCAGCAUCUCCAAGUUUGCAGAUGACACGAAGCUGGGCAGCAGUGUUAGCUGUGAGGAGGAUGCUAAAAGGAUGCAGGGUGACUUGGAUAGGUUGGGUGAAUGGGCAAAUUCAUGGCAGAUGCAAUUUAAUGUGGAUAAAUGUGAAGUUAUCCACUUUGGUGGCAAAAAUAGGAAAACAGAUUAUUAUCUGAAUGGUGGCCGAUUAGGAAAAGGGGAGGUGCAACGAGACCUGGGUGUCAUUAUACAGCAGUCAUUGAAAAUGGGCAUGCAGGUACAGCAGGCGGUGAAAAAGGUGAAUGGUAUGCUGGCAUUUAUAGCGAGAGGAUUCGAGUACAGGAGCAGGGAGGUACUAUUGCAGUUGUACAAGGCCUUGGUGAGACCACACCUGGAGUAUUGUGUGCAGUUUUGGUCCCCUAAUCUGAGAAAGACAUCUUUGCCAUAGAGGGAGUACAAAGAAGGUUCACCAGAUUGAUUCCUGGGAUGGCAGGACUUUCAUAUGAAGAAAGACUGGAUGAACUGGGCUUGUACUCGUUGGAAUUUAGAAGAUUGAGGGGGGGAUCUGAUUGAAACGUAUAAGAUCCUAAAGGAAUUGGACAGGCUAGAUGCAGGAAGAUUGUUCCCGAUGUUGGGGAAGUCCAGAACGAGGGGCCACAGUUUGAGGAUAGAGGGGAAGCCUUUUAGG